UACGGGGGGGGCAAGCGUUGUUCGGAAUUACUGGGCGUAAAGGGCUCGUAGGCGGCCAACUAAGUCGGACGUGAAAUCCCUCAGCUUAACUGGGGAACUGCGUCCGAUACUGGAUGGCUUGGAUUUGGGAGAGGGAUGCGGAAUUCCAGGUGUAGCGGUGAAAUGCGUAGAUAUCUGGAGGAACACCGGUGGCGAAGGCGGCAUCCUGGACCAAUAUUGACGCUGAGGAGCGAAAGCGUGGGGAGCGAACAGG
rnacentral:rRNA from 1 species